GAAACUCGCCUACAUGAAGCUGGAAUUGCUAGUAAUCACAGGUCAGCAUACUGUGGUAAAUACGUUCCCGGGCCUUGUACACACCGCCCGUCACACCAUGAGAGUUGAGAAUACCCGAAGCCCAUGUCAAAGUGGUCGAAGGUAGGCUUGAUGAUUGGGGUGAAGUCGUAACAAGGUAUC
rnacentral:rRNA from 1 species